rnacentral:misc_RNA from 1 species
UCUCCGUUGGUGAACCAGCGGAGGGAUCAUUACAGGACUCGCAAGACUCCUACAACCCUGUGAACUUAACUAUAAGCACGUUGCUUCGGCGGGUGUCUCGGAGGGGGUUCUCCCUCCCCGAGACGUUAAACCCGCCGGCAGCCUACUAUACUCUGUCUCUUUGCGUUGGCAUCUCGAGUACAAUCAAACAAGUUAAAACUUUCAACAACGGAUCUCUUGGUUCUG